rnacentral:tRNA from 1 species
GCGACCGUGGCGGAAUAGGUAGACGCAGGAGACUUAAAAUUUCCCGGCGAGAGCCGUGCCGGUUCGAUUCCGGCCGGUCGCACCA